ACCAGGGAAUGUGAAAGAAGGGGACACAUUUUUUUUAUUAAUUUGUUCUUCUAGUACCUUUUUGGGGUUCUUGCCUUGAAGUGUAUUAAAUCUCAUCCUUGCAGAAGUGGUUGAGUACCUGGAACCAGGUACGAUCUUGAAGAACAAAGUGAUGGAAGUGUUGAAGGAUCUGCUUCAUUGAAGGCAUCAAGACUAACAAAAAGUUGAGAGGAGCCUAUAUCAAACAUGGAGAAACUUCUAAUGACCUAGAUUGAUGACCAACACAGAAGCAUAUCCCUACAAACCCCAUAACAAUCAUGGCCAAAGCAAAAAGUUUGUUUGCGAUGUUGAAAGAAAAGGCUGAACUUGACUACAGUGUUGAAUUUACUGCUAACUCUGGGUGGUUUAAGUGAUUAAAGAAUUGUUAUUCAUUACAUCUUGUCAAAGUGAUUGGCCCCCACCUUGGAUCAUCUGCUGUGUGUUCAUUGAGCAAAACCCUGAGAAUAUAACAAUAUAAAGCAUGGGAAGCUUAAAAUUUAAUGAGGAAGAUAUAAAUAUAUAAAA